rnacentral:rRNA from 1 species
CAGUCGCCACGGUAAUACGAAGGGGGCUAGCGUUGUUCGGAUUUACUGGGCGUAAAGGGUGCGUAGGCGGACUGAUAAGUCAGGGGUGAAAUCCCAAGGCUCAACCUUGGAACUGCCUUUGAUACUGAUAGUCUUGAGUUCGAGAGAGGUGAGUGGAACUGCGAGUGUAGAGGUGAAAUUCGUAGAUAUUCGCAAGAACACCAGUGGCGAAGGCGGCUCACUGGCUCGAAACUGACGCUGAGGCACGAAAGCGUGGGGAGCCAACAGGAUUAGAUACCCGUGUAGUCCCUGUCUCUUAUAC